rnacentral:pre_miRNA from 1 species
UAUGUACUCCUUCCGUUCCAAAUUACUCGUCAUAGAAAUGGAUGUAUCUAGAACUAAAAUACAUCUAGAUACAUCCAUACCUGCGACAAGUAAUUCGGAACGGAGGGAGUACAUG